ACAGCCUGAAAAGAAAAAACCACUAUAUUUAUUGAAUCAUUAUAAAAAUGAAACGUCUGUGUUUACUAGAGUUGUUUUGGUGUACUAGGGAGUGUGCUGAGGACCACCACCAGCCAUCAGAGCAGAGUUCAUCCAUACUGUGUAGAACAGGGGUUCCCAAACUUAUUUUGUCUGCUGCCCACUUUGAGAAUAAAUUAUUUUUUAGUGCCCCAUUUUUUCACCUACUUAAUAACCAGUACGGCAAGAGCUCAGUCGGUAUCUAAGAGUCCUCGUAGAUAAAAUCAAAUCGACUCCCAAGCUUCUACACAACGCCCCCACUUUUUUCCGGGUCUCUUACCGCCCCUUUAAGGCCUGCAGCGCCCACAAGGGGGUGUUAUCGUCGACUUUAUUUAUUUAUUUAUUUAUUUAACUUUAUUUUAUUCGACUUUGGUAAAGGCUGGCCACUGCAUUCAUCCACAGUGUUUCCAGAAAUCUUUUUUAUUUUAUUUUAUUGCCCUUGUAGGCAGACGAGCAUACGGCCCACCUGAUGGUGAGUGGUUACCGUCGCCCAUGGACUUCAGCAAUGCCAGGAGCAGAGCCAAGCCGCUGCCUACCGCUCCACAAGCCUCGUUUGAAGAAGGACAUGUCAUAGCGCUCGGGAAACACAGUGGAGGGAAGCUCAUUCCAAAGCCGGAUGCUACGUGGCAAAAAAGACCUCUGGAAACGCACUGUGGAUGAACGCAGUGGCUCCAGGUAGUAUGGAUGAACUCUACUCCGGUGGCGGGCGGUGCGAUGGUAAAAACAUUUCUGCAACAUACGGUCCAGCUUUGGUAUGAACUCUCCUCAUGGUGUUCGGAGAGUGCUACGCGAACCGGGUUUUUUUUUUAUUGCUUAGAUCGGUGGACGAGCUCACAGCCCACCUGGUGUUAAGUGAUUACUGGAGCCCAUAGACAUCUACAACGUAAAUGCGCCACCCUCGUUGAGAUAUAAGUUCUAAGGUCUCAAGUAUAGUUACAACGGCUGCCCUACCCUUCAAACCGAAACGCAUUACUGCUUCACGGCAGAAAUAGGCGGGGCGGUGGUACUUACCCUUGCGGACUCACAAGAGGUCCUACCACCAGUAAUCACGCAAAUUAUAAUUUUGCGGAUUUGAUUUUUAUUACACGAUAUUAUUCCUUCACCGUGGAAGUCAAUCGUGAAUCGUUGUUAAGUACGUAUUUCAUUAGAAAAAUUGGUACCCGCCUGCGGAAUUCGAACACAGGUGCAUCGCUUCAACACGAAUGCACCGGACGUCUUUCUUAUCUUUUAGGCCACGACGACUUCAAAAGGUAUGAGGAGAGCUCUUAGUGAGCAAUGGUUUGGCUCUGACAUUGCUGAUAUCCUUGAGUUGAAGUUGACCACUCAUCAUCUAGCGAGCUGUAAGAGGAUCUGUUUGCGCAACAAUAAAAAAUAUUUUUGAUUACAACGCAACUAAAUAUAUGGAUUUCUAAUAUCAAGCUGAGUAUUCUAAACUGAAUCCUGGCAACCCCCGACCGAGAGCCAGCGCUAAAACUAUAAAAACGAUCCCUCGCUGCGCCUUUGCCUCUUUUUUGUGCGUGGCGUUCGUGAGUGCGGUUCUUGUUGAAACAUGUCCGAGACUUGUGUAAUUUUAACAGUUUUCGUUAAUAGUAAAUUGAAAUCAUUUUGUUAGAAGUUUUGUUAAUUCAGUGAAAUAUAAUUAGGCCAGUUCUGUGUUAUUUAUUUCUUUUUGUUAACUACCUCACUUCUGGUCGAUAAUAUCAGAAGUGGGAUAAAACCACGUGCUUUUGAAAAGUGACGGGACGUCGAUGUAGAAAAUACAGGCGCGAUCAUUCUCAUCGACGCUGUCAUGACCGCUCGAAUUCUUGAUUUAGGAGUUUGUUGCAAUUAUCAUCGUCGCGAUCGUGCUGUGUGUAGGAAGAGCAAGACACCUACGCCGCAGGAUGUCUCCUGGCAUAGUUCCGUGGAAUCGUUGUUUAGAACAUAAUUAUACUCGUGAGAUCGUGAGAUUAAUGACCACUUUACCGGUACCGUCUAAUCGCAAUACGCUGUCGCACUCUUGUACCGAACGCCACGCGCAGUUAUUUUUGCCACCAGCAGCAACGAUUUCCGUCGAAGGGGGUGACGCAUGUGCACCUGAAUACCCUGGAACAGCGUCAUGCAAAUCGGCGGGUGUGUGUAGUAGUGCUGGUCAGCAGAUGGACGGCGUGACGAACAGGAUUAUUGGAGCAUUGCAGGUGCUAUCUAAACUUUGACAAUGGAGGCGCCUUCUGUCUGAUUUGUUCACAGAUGCAGGGCGUUGUCGCCGACGUGUAAGGUCAGUAGCGAGUCGGCGCCGUGCUCCAGCAGGAGAGCGCAGAGCCGUGCAGACUGCACGUGUUGCUCGCGUGCCGGUACCUGCGCGCGCUCAUCUACUUCUGGCGCGCAUACUGCGCGCACUGCUCGCGUACCGCUGGCUGCGCGCACUGCUCGCGUGCCGCUGGCUGCGCACACUGCUCGCGUGCCGCUGGCUGCGCGCACUGCUCGCGUGCCGCUGGCUGCGCACACUGCUCGCGUGCCGCUGGCUGCGCGCGCUCGCCUGCUUCAGACGUGCAUACUGCACGUGUUGCUCGCGUGCCGCUGCAUGCGCGCGCUCACCUACUUCUGACGUGCAUACUGCACGUGUUGCUCGCAUGCCGCCGACUGCACGGUGCUGUACGACUGGCAGUGACGCAGAGGGCGAUGUCGCUUAGUCUGCGGCCUGCUGCUGCGGACUACCCAACGGAUUAUCUAUCAGGACGGUCGAGCGGGACGCCCGCCACACGUGGUGCAGCCUCGCAUCGUGGGAGCAGACUGGAGCUGGGACGGCUGCCCUGCUUCCACAUCAUCCUUACGAGUGGACCCCGGUGACAUGCAGCCUUUUCUUCGAAAUUAAUAUGUGAAGGUCGAGGUGGGCACUUCGGUGCUUUACUUCCCAUUUUUGAGGUUGAGGUGGGCACUUCGGUGCUUUACUUCCCAUUUUUGAGGUUGAGGUGGGCACGACGGUGCUUUACUUCCCGUUUAUUUUUUUGAGCAGUAUGGUAGAUGCGGAUUCGGCCGGAUCUUGCGUCCCUACUGUUUAGCUGUGUUGUGUCGGUAAUGUUCAGUAUCUGUAUCGGUGAAUAUUGCCGACAACAGCGCGCUACUGUUUUAGACGUUUCCUGUACGGGCUAACUCAGUAAAGGAAUCGUGCAGGUGUCUCAAAUUGCGCAGUUUGGGACAGUUGUGCGAUAUCCAUUCUUCUCACUUCAAAUGUUUAUCUUUGGCUCGUCCUCGCUGCAGAUGUAAGAGUGCACGCUUGCGUCUGUAGUAGGGAUUCUAAAUUUUAGAAAGUUUUAGAGCAUUAAGGUCUGGGUGUAUUUUUUUUUUGUUACGUUACAGAGGGUGACCUUGUUGAUGCAAGCUCUGACGUAGCUGGAAGAGAUAUGCUUCUGCUGAGAGAUGAAGCGGUCGAGGACGCCUCGCCAUCAGGAACGGCCGUGUUACAGAAUCCUGGCAACCCCCGACCGAGAGCCAGCGCUAAAACUAUAAAAACGAUCCCUCGCUGCGCCUUUGCCUCUUUUUUGUGCGUGGCGUUCGUGAGUGCGGUUCUUGUUGAAACAUGUCCGAGACUUGUGUAAUUUUAACAGUUUUCGUUAAUAGUAAAUUGAAAUCAUUUUGUUAGAAGUUUUGUUAAUUCAGUGAAAUAUAAUUAGGCCAGUUCUGUGUUA